rnacentral:rRNA from 1 species
GGCGAACGGGUGAGUAAUGCAUCGGAACGUGCCAUUGAGUGGGGGUAACGUAGCGAAAGUUACGCUAAUACCGCAUAUUCUGUGAGCAGGAAAGCAGGGGAUCGCAAGACCUUGCGCUCUUUGAGCGGCCGAUGUCAGAUUAGCUAGUUGGUGAGGUAACGGCUUACCAAGGCGACGAUCUGUAGCGGGUCUGAGAGGAUGAUCCGCCACACUGGAACUGAGACACGGUCCAGACUCCUACGGGAGGCAGCAGUGGGGAAUUUUGGACAAUGGGGGCAACCCUGAUCCAGCCAUGCCGCGUGAGUGAAGAAGGCCUUCGGGUUGUAAAGCUCUUUCGGCCGGGAAGAAAUCGCAUGGGUUAAUACCCUGUGUGGAUGACGGUACCGGCAUAAGAAGCACCGGCUAACUACGUG